GGGGCUAUAGCUCAGUUGGCAGAGCGCUUCCAUGGCAUGGAAGAGGUCAAGGGUUCAAUUCCCUUUAGCUCCA
rnacentral:tRNA from 3 species